AGUUAACGCUGGCGGCGUGCCUAACACAUGCAAGUCGAGCGGUUUUUAGCCGGGUAGCAAUAUCUGGCUGAUGACAGCGGCAGACGGGUGAGUAUCACGUAGGAAAUCUUCCCUUGAGAGGAGAAUAACCUGCCGAAAGGUGGGCUAAUACUCCGUAAUAUUAUAUCGUGUUCGCAUGAUAUAAUCAAAGUAGCAAUACGCUUGAGGAUGAUCCUGCGCUCUAUCAGCUAGUUGGUGAGGUAACGGCUCACCAAGGCGACGACGGAUAGCCGGCCUUAAAGGGUGAUCGGCCACAAUGGCACUGAGACACGGGCCAUACUCCUNACGGGAGGCAGCAGUGAGGAAUUUUGGACAAUGGGGGAAACCCUGAUCCAGCGACGCCGCGUGAAGGAUGAAGGUCUUCGGAUUGUAAACUUCUUUUGGAAGGGAAGAAAAGCCCGCAAGGGAAUUGACGUACCCUCAGAAAAAGCCACGCUAACU
rnacentral:rRNA from 1 species